CACAUAAACUAACAAAGAGGUUAUGUUUGUAGGUAUCUUUUAUCUAUUUUUCAAUGAUUUUUCAUUGUUUAUAAUCAUCGUAUUUUGUCUAUUUUGGAUUCAUUUGGAUUUCGUUUCCUGUUUUUGUGAACUUUAUAAACUUAACCACAAUGCAAAAUGAUUAUUUAAGGAAAUUAUUAUUGGAAACUUCAGAUGUUGCGAGAAAGAUAUUUAUUGAAGCUGAAAAUAAUUGGGGAUUUAGAUCCAUACGCAAUUCAGUCAGAAUUGGAUUUUACAGUUAAGUGCAGUCCAUCAAGUUACUAUUAUAGAUAUUUAUACAUAUUUGGUGGAGUCUCACAGUUGCUACUCUAAGCAGCAGAUGAAAGCAUACAAAAGCCUUCAGGCACAUAAAUAUUUUACAGCUGGAUUUGUUUUGAAUGGAGUAAAAAUUGUUAAUGAUUUCCAUAUUAUUGUAGGAAAGGUGAAGCAUUUCCAAAAAGUUAAUGCUAAACGACUAAAUGCUUGGGUGGGGUGAUAGCCAGUUCUGAUGACAUAGCAAAUGCACAUUGUAUGCAUAUGGCCGGUAAUAGUAAAGUAUGCCCAGGGCAAGACAGACGAAGAAGAACCCAAUGCAUGUACAUAUGUUACAGCUACAUGGUUUGGAGAUAGCAACAUAUGCAUUCUCUGAUGAAAAACUAAUGAGUUUUGAAACUGUUCGGUCAGAGUGCUUGUUGCGCUCACUGAACGAACUGAAAUAUGAGAUGGCUUUGGCAUUGUGUUGCAGCGAUAUGAAAAUGGUUAUUCAUUUUUAAUUAUAAUGUACUUCUUCAUCAUGAGUAAUUAUGUAUUGGUCUUUUAAAUGUGUAUUUAUUUUUGUAAUUAGUAUCAACUUGUAAUGAUAAUAUACAUUUAUCGUUUAAGGUAUGACUAUGUUUAGACUCUAAAAUAAAUGUUUUAAAAAUCGAA